AUGAUGACACCCACCUCUCUGAAUCAAUCAGGCACCAUCAGUCUACUAUAAGGACUCGGAAAUGACGCAAGAGGAGCGCGCGUUUUUUUCUGAUAGCUCUUGUUUGUCACGUUGUCCAUCCUUCCCGAGUUGUUGCAAUUGUGAUUUGUUAGUUUACUUUGAGUUAUUUCUGAUCGCUCCCUUACUUUACAUGUUGUAAUCACCUGCCUCUGACUUGACUCUGGCUGUUUGCGCGAUUAAGCUGUGAUUUUGAUUCCUCUUCCCUCUUUAAGAGUUGACGGUUGGAUUUAUCUCUCGACUCAUCGUGUUGAGACGAGAAGCUAAUUUUGACAACAACAGCAGCCAAUUAGGAAGUCGUAACACACACCCUCCUGGCCUUUACAGUUAUUUCCAUUAUGUAAAGACUUGAACAUUAACAGGACCAGCAUAGUGUGAAGCGUGGAGCAACACAUUUAAGAGUAUCAAGAUAUCAGGUUACCAGAAGGGAAGCAACAAACAGUAGUGUAACCAAAGCAAAAAACAAAACAACCAAAAAAAAAAAAAAAAAUGACGCAAGUGGUUUUGCAGGUGGGUGGGCCAUAAAAGCAAACAAACCAAAAACAGACUAAGAAAAUACGCUACAUAUGAAUAUUGAUACACCUCUCUUUCUCAGGCAUGGGUCAUUUGUGUUUACUGAAUAAUUGUGAGAUCCUAUGAUAUAAAUAUUAACAGAUUUACAUUUGGUUAACAAUGAUUUGUUUUGAACAACAUGUUUCUAUUUAUACAAUCUUUAACACUAUUGGUAAUGCAAUAUUCACAAUCUUACAAUGCAAUCUUACAAGGUAUAACUACAUAAACUGUUUUACAUUUAAUUAGAAAUGAAAUGCAAUACAGCUUUUAUAAUAAUGAAUUUCUUUUUAUAGGUUUUACAGUAAAAUUCAAGGAAUGGAUUAUAGACCAGUCUAUAACAUCUCACAUUACUUCCAUUUAAUUGGAUUCACAGAUUUUCAACAUCUUAGUAUAGACUUUAAUAGCUAAUUCUGUUUUGUUUUUGGUAAUUAUGAAGCAAAGAACUUUGCAUGCUCUGAUGUACAUUCUGAUUGCAUUAAUUGCUGCUCUUGGGUGUGUUAUGCCAAUAUUAAUUGUUAUCAGGAUGUUUAAUUUUUUUAUUUAUUUUUUUUUGUAUUACUAAAAAUGAAUGUCUCAUCCUAAGAGACCAAAGGCCAAGAGACAGCUGGUAGUUUUCACUCAGGCAUUUUACUUUGGAUGGCUGUUGACAGGUUAUUUUGUACCAAAUACCAAAGGUUUGUAAACAUCACUAAAUCAUUACUUUUCUGCUCUGCUUUAGAAUUUUAUAUGUGUAAUUAGGGGGCCAAGCACUGAUUGUGCACAGGCACCCUAUAGUUAUUCUACCUUCAGGACCAUGGCCUGAGGCAAUGCAACAUGCUAAAAAUGCUUACAUCUAACUGCCAUUUUUGCUACUCCUUGUCCAAAUUGUGUCCAUUCUUCACCAAGUUUGGCUCACAUCAUCUUGAGACCUGUCUGAAUAACUGUCUACUGCCAUUGAAGCCAUUCAAUGUGCUAGGAAAUUUGAAAACUGUUUACCUGUAACGUGCUGGCAGAUGCAAAAAAAGAAAACAGGAUGUUAGGGUGUAUCUCAGCAAUGCAUCUACAUAUCAUCAGGAAACUUGAUAAGUGUUUUCAGGACCAGGCCCUGAAAUCACCCAAGAAGUUAAUGACUGCAUCACCUUGUGGUCAAGAACUCUAACAACUUUCAUUUUUUUCCAUGUGUCAUUUGAAGAAUUUGUGCAAGAUUCACAGUUAUUUUUUCCUAUAAUUCCCUGAAGUGAACACACAUAUGCUGAAGUGAGUGCAUAACAAACUUCUGAAAUUCAUGUGUAAAUUCAAGAAAUUCUUCCUGUUUACAAUCUUGGAUGAAAAUUUUUUUUUAACUACUCCUACAGAUUAUGUCCAAUCAACACCAAAUUUGGCAUACAUCAUCUUCAGACUAACCUGGACAAACAUUAUCAAAAGAACUUUGAUAUUCCCAAGGGUUUGCCUGUAACUUAGUGUUUGGGGCUCAGUCUCAGUGUUUAAGUCUAGGCUAAAAACAUAUUUGUUUAGGCAAGUCUUUUGUGAAUAGUUUUUUCUUAGGUACAGGGGCAGGUCUGAAGGGUUCACAGGCAUAGAGUGUUGUGGUGAACUGGGAUGUUUGGAUGCUGUCGCCCCCCCACUCUCACGCAUUCACUCAGGUUUGUUGACGGUGGAGUCGCUGGCCACUUUAUGUCCCAGGGCUCCCUCAUGCCUGCGUUACCUUCUGGUUCUCCCUUUUAGUUAUGCUGUCAUAGCUAGUCUUGCCGGAGUCCCUGCUUGCACUCUGCACGCAAAGUAUAUUGUCCUUAACCAUUACGGGACAAAAGCUUUCCUAACAAUCUCUCCCUCUCUCUCCACCUCUCUCUCUCCCUCACUCUGUCGAGCUACACAUGCUACUUCUGAGAUGCCAGUGAUCCUGACCCCUUCUACUCCCUGCCUGACCCAUCCUGAUGCCCUACUUCUGGUUGGAGUUCUCAUCGGUUGAGUUUGCUCGCUGCUGCUGGGGGUGGCCCCAUAUGGACGGCCUGAAGAACCAUUUGGAUUGCUGGGGGUGGUGCCACCUGGGGGCUGUGGAGAUGGCUUGGGGAUCACACAUGGGAGCUGUACUGUAAUGGCUUGGGACUGCGAUUGCUGUAGUGGCUUUGGGGCUGCAGCUGCCACGAGCACCUUCGUACUCAGGACUCCAUCAGUGGACAGUGGAUAGAUUUUAACCAACCGGACUUCUUGCAAAAACUGUGAAGAAUUUACUGGUUGCACAAUUGCACUAUUUGUCCGUAUAGUACACAAUAAUAGAAGGGAUUUGUUUAUAAUUGCACUAUCCGUUGCACCCAGAUGAGUAUGGGUUCCCUUUUGAGCCUGGUUCCUCUCAAGGUUUCUUCCUCAUAUUGUCUCAGGGAGUUUUUCCUUGCCACCAUCACCUCUGGCUUGCUCAUUAGGGAUAAAUUCACAAAUUUACAAUAUAUUUUUUGUGAAUCCAUUUAUUUCUGUAAAGCUGCUUUGUGACAAUGUUCAUUGUUAAAAGCGCUAUACAAAUAAAAUUGAAUUGAAUUGAAAUUAAUGUGUCAAUAAAUCUGAUGGCAAAGCCGCCAAACAGGAAGUGAGGCUGUAUCUCAGCAACAACCUUGCACACUGACACAAAUCUUGGUAGGCAUCUUCAGGACCAUGCCCUGAGGCUAUGCAACAUAUUUCAUGACAGUGCAACAUACUGGACAAAAGUUACAAUAACAUACCAAAAAUGCUUCCAUCUAAGUGCCAUUUUUUGAUACUCCUCAAAUUUGGUCCAAUCUUCAUGAAAUUUGAUUCACAUUAUCUUGAGACCUGUCUAAACAACUAUCUACUGCCAUUCUAGCUGUUCAGUGUGCUAUUAUAAAGACAAC